rnacentral:tRNA from 1 species
ACCUGGCUGGUUCAAUUGGUUGAGCAUGUGACUCUGGAUCUCAGAGUUGUGGUUUCAAGUGCCAUAUUGGGUG